AGGAGUUUGAUCAUGGCUCAGAGCGAACGUUGGCGGCGGGGCUUAGACAUGCAAGUCGAGCGGAAAGGCUCCUUCGGGAGUACUCGAGCGGCGAACGGGAGAGUAAUACCUGGACAACCUACCUCGGAGACGGGGAUAGCCACUGGAAACGGUGGGUAAUACCCGAUAGUCCCGGCGAGCUGAUGGCUUGCCGGGUAAAUGGUGAUUCCGCUUCGGGACGGGUCCAGGCCCCAUUAGCUUGUUGGUGAGGUAACGGCUCACCAAGGCUGCGAUGGGUAGCGGGCCUGAGAGGGUGAUCCGCCUCACUGGGACUGAGACACUGCCCAGACUCCUACGGGAGGCUGCAGUCGCGAAUCAUUGGCAAUGCGCGAAAGCGUGACCAUGCCACGCCGCGUGGGCGAUGAAGGCCUUCGGGUUGUAAAGCCCUGUCAGGGGUGAGGAAAUGUGCGGUUGAACCGCAUUUGACGUUAGCCCCAGAGGAAGUCACGGCUAACUCCGUGCCAGCAGCCGCGGUAAUACGGAGGUGGCAAACGUUGCUCGGAAUCACUGGGCUUAAAGGGCGUGUAGGCGGUCUUCCAAGUCGGAUGUGAAAGCCCUCGGCUCAACCGAGGAAUUGCACUCGAUACUGGUCGACUAGAGUGCGGCAGGGGUAAGUGGAACUCCAGGUGUAGCGGUGAAAUGCGUAAAUAUCUGGAGGAACGCCGGUGGCGAAAGCGACUUACUGGGCCGCAACUGACGCUGAGGCGCGAAAGCUAGGGGA
rnacentral:rRNA from 1 species